UACGGGGGGAGCAAGCGUUGUUCGGAUUUACUGGGCGUAAAGAGCGCGUAGGCGGCUUCUUAAGUCAGGUGUCAAAGGCAAUGGCUCAACCAUUGUACGCAUCUGAAACUGGGGAGCUUGAGUGCAGGAGAGGUGAGUGGAAUUCCCGGUGUAGCGGUGGAAUGCGUAGAGAUCGGGAGGAACACCAGUGGCGAAGGCGACUCACUGGCCUGCAACUGACGCUGAGGAGCGAAAGCCAGGGGAGCAAACGGG
rnacentral:rRNA from 1 species